CAUGAAGGGAGUGCCCGUCCGGCGCCGCGCCCGGGAUCGCCGGGCUGGGCCGUGAGGGCAUCUCCCGGCCCAGGAGUGUGGGAGUGCUCAGCUUGGUUAGAAGGCGCUGCCAGUUCGUUAAUAACACUGCUUUUACACGAAGAAAAAUCCCAGAGUUUGUGAACCUCAGCUUGUCUGGGCAAAGUCUGGACAAGUUUUGCUGAUGUCAGACCUAGAGGCAGGUUAAUAAAGCCUAGGAAGAAGGAUGUCACACUGAUAAUGGACACAAAGAAUGCAGAAUUUAUGGGCCACAAGGCCCACAUUUGGCAGAACUCCCAAGGUAAGAAAGAAAUUACUAAGUCAACUCAGCAUCGUGCGGCAAUCAGCUCAGACUGGGUAAAGGGUAAUUCCAGCAGGGGCAGAUUGCAACCAUCGGACCCAAGAAACCCACCAACCCAAAAGAAAAGAAACUCUGAGCACGUGGACUAAUUAACAGGAGAAGCCAGAGAAUCAUUAACCAACAGAAGAAGAUUGGAAAAGUCGGAUGAAAUCCUGUGUGUGGAUUUAUUUUUCUCAUUGAGAAAUGGUCAUAAAACAAGAAAGAAAUGGAGAUUAUUGGCAUCUGAUUCAAAUGUGUUAAUGAUGACGGAAGAGAAAAAGAAAUUAUCUUGUUGCUGUUCUGCUUGUAGUACAGCGAAAAGGUAUCUGAAAGUGGGUAGUGAGGAAGAAGGUGUACAAUUGUUGGCUUCUCUGAGAAAAAAUCAGAGGAUAGUGAUAAUUGGGACCAGGAAAGUACUGAUGGUAAGACUGGAGGAAGUGAUGCAUUUAGUCCAAUUGAGGUUGAAUUUGGACACACCAAAACCCCGUAUAUGUAAAAGUUCCCUUCUCAACCACUGACUUGAUACAUUGGAAGGAAUCUGCCAGGCUGUACUGUGAAAUCCAGAAAUAUUUGAAAUUCUGUAUGGUACACCACAUAAUGUGAAUCUGACAGGAAAAACUGACCAGAUGAUGUGGUAAGAGAGAAAGCUUUAACAGGUUAUCUCUUGUCUUUAAAGAAAACCCUGAGAUUAUUACACAGGUACUUGCUCUUUAGAACACCAGUCCCAAUCAAGUCACCAAUAUAUUCUUUUAAGCGUGGAGAUCAAGUCAACCUGAAAAGCUGGAAAGAUACUCCAUUAGCUGAGAAGUGGAAAGAACCUUAUCAGGUACUGCUAAGGACACAGCCAUGGAAUUGAAAUGACUGGACUCAUGAAUUCAUUACACAUAGACCAAAGGUAUUCCUCCAACUUUGUGGUGGUCUUAACAGAAAGACCCCGAAGCUGAAACUGACUCGGGACUCAUUAACUGCACAUGGACAAAAACAGAAUCUGUACUGCAAUUUUAUUGUGUCCAUGGAGAAAUUUUACUAUAUUUUUGUGUUUUACUAAGUUUAAAAAGUUUUUAUAGGCAAUGUGCUUGAUUUUUGGAACACCACUGAGCACCCAGGCCUGGGUGCACAACUCUGAAAUAAACAAUCAGGUCUCUUUUGAGUGUGUAAUUAUUGGCUUGUAGCACACUGGAUAAUAAAUCCAAUUUUUCUGAACAACAAUAUGUCCUACUUUAAACAAGUAAUUUAUAUCAUCUUGGAAUUUUACAUGGUACUCACAAAGUGAGGCAGGUAAUUGCUCAGAGAAAUUGAAUGUAAAUAUUAUCAUUCGUAAUACAAAAUGAAGUUAUGAAUACUAGUGCAUGAAUCAAAGCCUGCCUAGCUGACAGCUUGAAAGAUACAUCUGGCCUCCAGGACAAUAUUCCACUAUCCUAUAAAAUUUUACAUCUCAUCUGACAGCUGGCCUUAGUGUGAAUAGGACUGAUGUAAUCCCCUCCCAAUUGCCAAGAACUUGUAAAGUCUUGCAUUAGAUUUACAAUUUGUUUAUUCUUACCAAUUACAGAGGCCAAGGCAUACUUCUGGCCCUAUAAAUGCCUGUAUAAUACUCAUGCUUAAGCAGAGGACAUGAAAGUAAGCAAAGUAAAGUGCUGGAUAUAAAACUCCAUGACUUGGAGAAAUAAAAAAAUUAUGCAUGCACAGCACUUUGAGGAAGCAAGUGUAGCAUAGCCAGGACGUCCUAUGCUAACUUUAAUUGUACUACAGCAAAUUAGUAUCAGUACAGAGACACACAACAAAAUACAAAGCACAUCCAAAUCCAGCAUUCUUGGAGGGUUUAUAGUCUCAUUUUUAGCCCUUACAGCUGAAGCUGUGUCCCAUGUUCACUUGUGCUGUUUUGUAUUAUAUUCCAGCCUAACAAUACUGUGUAGGCAUACCUGAAGUCACACUCCCAUGUGCAGUGAAGUGAACAUAACUGAACGUGCUUGAAUGUGGUGUGUGCAGGGUGUGAAACAAGUACAGAUGUUGUUUAAUACAUCUUUGGCAAACCAGUUACCAGAUAUAAUAUUUUGUGUAAUGAUAU